GAUGAACGCUGGCGGCGUGCUUAACACAUGCAAGUCGAACGAAGCGACUGUGAUUGAGACUUCGGUUGAUUGACCAGUUGACUUAGUGGCGGACGGGUGAGUAACGCGUGGGUAACCUGCCUUACACAGGGGGAUAACAGUUAGAAAUGACUGCUAAUACCGCAUAACCCGAUAGGGCCGCAUGGCCCGGACGGAAAAGAUUUAUCGCUUCUUGAUGGACUCGCGUCUGAUUAGAUAGUUGGUGAGGUAACGGCUCACCAAGUCGACGAUCAGUAGCCGGACUGAGAGGUUGAACGGCCACAUUGGGACUGAGACACGGCCCAGACUCCUACGGGAGGCAGCAGUGGGGAAUAUUGCGCAAUGGGGGCAACCCUGACGCAGCAACGCCGCGUGAAGGAUGAAGGUCUUCGGGAUUGUAAACUUUGUCUUUGGUGAAGAUAAUGACGGUAGCCAAGGAGGAAGCCACGGCUAACUACGUG
rnacentral:rRNA from 1 species